UACGUAGGGUGCAAGCGUUGUCCGGAAUUAUUGGGCGUAAAGAGCUCGUAGGCGGUGUGUCGCGUCGGCCGUGAAAACCUGCAGCUUAACUGUGGGCUUGCGGUCGAUACGGGCAUCACUGGAGUUCGGCAGGGGAGACUGGAAUUCCUGGUGUAGCGGUGAAAUGCGCAGAUAUCAGGAGGAACACCGGUGGCGAAGGCGGGUCUCUGGGCCUGUCCUGACGCUCAGGCGCGAAAGCUAGGGGAGCAAACAGG
rnacentral:rRNA from 1 species